GUACUCCGGGGAUAACAGGCUGAUACCGCCCAAGAGUUCAUAUCGACGGCGGUGUUUGGCACCUCGAUGUCGGCUCAUCACAUCCUGGGGCUGAAGUAGGUCCCAAGGGUAUGGCUGUUCGCCAUUUAAAGUGGUACGCGAGCUGGGUUUAGAACGUCGUGAGACAGUUCGGUCCCUAUCUGCCGUGGGCGCUGGAGAACUGAGGGGGGCUGCUCCUAGUACGAGAGGACCGGAGUGGACGCAUCACUGGUGUUCGGGUUGUCAUGCCAAUGGCACUGCCCGGUAGCUAAAUGCGGAAGAGAUAAGUGCUGAAAGCAUCUAAGCACGAAACUUGCCCCGAGAUGAGUUCUCCCUGACCCUUUAA
rnacentral:rRNA from 2 species